rnacentral:rRNA from 1 species
AGCGAACGCUGGCGGCAGGCUUAACACAUGCAAGUCGAGCGCCCGUAGCAAUACGGGAGCGGCAGACGGGUGAGUAACACGUGGGAACGUACCCUUCAGUUCGGAACAACCCAGGGAAACUUGGGCUAAUACCGGAUACGUCCGUAAGGAGAAAGAUUUAUCGCUGAAGGAUCGGCCCGCGUCUGAUUAGCUAGUUGGUGGGGUAAUGGCCCACCAAGGCUACGAUCAGUAGCUGGUCUGAGAGGAUGAUCAGCCACACUGGGACUGAGACACGGCCCAGACUCCUACGGGAGGCAGCAGUGGGGAAUAUUGGACAAUGGGCGCAAGCCUGAUCCAGCCAUGCCGCGUGAGUGAUGAAGGCCUUAGGGUUGUAAAGCUCUUUCGGCGGGGAAGAUAAUGACGGUACCCGCAGAAGAAGCCCCGGCUAACUUCGUGCCAGCAGCCGCAGUAAU